GGCCCGCCGCCUAGCGCGCCCGGGAGAGGGGCUUCCUCUGCCGAGGGGCAUCCCUUUCCAGCGUUGGGCGCCAAGAGCGGAGCCGAGCACCCACCUCGCAGGCUCCACCUGAGACCCCUGAAAGGGUGGGAAAGGGAGAGACCACCACGAGCAGACUGGACAGCGAGCCAGGGACCUGUGGGAAGACGUGUCGGGGGCUGAGAGCUUUGGUAAUGAAGGGAUUCCAGUUCUGGCAAAUGCUUCUGUAAGUGUAGGACAGUGGGGCAGGAGCGGCGCUGCCGGUUAUGCAGGUGGGCCAUCCUGUACGUACCGAGCGGCGUUAAGAUCCAUAAAACCACCCGCCUGCAUUCCAGUAACUCUGGCUGCUCUGAUAAGGAGCGUAUGGACAGAAGGGGAGACAGAAGGAGGCUCUUGAAAUAAUCCAGGCCCUGGUGUCUCAUUCUGUGGAGCGGAAAGCAGCAAGGAGAAAGAGGGAUGUCCACCAUACAACCAAACCACAUUGUUACAAGGAUCCCUGUUUUGCUGAUAGGUUACUGGGGUUCUAUACAUCAGAUGCUGGUAGUGAUGUUGAAGAGCCCGACUGUGACUACCAAGUGAAGCAACAGCCCUGAAAAAAAUAAGCAUCAGGAAACCACUCUCCUGCCCCUUUUGUCCUGCCUGCCAUGGUAAGGAAAGGAGAAUGAACUUCAAGAAGACAACUGAACGUUUGUUGUAUUAUUGGGACAUGUGAAAUCUUUGAAGCUAUCCUCUCUGUCAAGUUUGUAUGAGGAAAUUGAGUGACUCCCACAGUGUGGAAGUAUCAGGUCAUUAAAAUCUUAGUUACUACAAGACAAAGAGUCAGUGCGUCUUCUAUGGAGACA